UACUAACACUGAAAAUUUCAGUCCAACAGACUGGACAUUCAAUGUUUUUCGAGCCCGAUGUUCAUAAUAGUAUUUAUGUUAGAUAAAUGUAUUACAGGAGGGCCUAUAUCUUUUAGAAAAGAAGUUGUAUCAACACAAUAUGUUGACAGUGCCAGACCACUUGCGGGUGAAACUAACAAUUUCAUCUCAUGGGUAUGUUGUAUCGAUGUUUUGGAGCCUGAUGUUUUACCGUCUUUUUCUUAACUAUAAUUUUUACAAUGGUAGCUGUCCACAACGCGUAAAUUAAAACUUCAGCCAACGGAGUAAAAGUCUGCUUUGUUUUCGAGUACAAUGCUCUCUGAUCUUUUUUUAACAUGUAUAAAUUUAACAAGGUAAAAGGUCGACACCGCUUGAUAAACACAACAUUAAUGUCGACACAAAAGAUAUAUACGUCGGUGGAUUUCAUUUUUAAUUCCUUUGGUGCACAGUAGGGUCUGAUUCUCUUAAAAUAGAUUGGGUACAUGUACUUUCAGGUUAACCUUAUAGUGAUAGUGUUUGGCUAUAUGUUAAUAACACUGAAAAUUUCAGUCCCCAUAGAAAGGACAUUUAAAGUUUUCGAGCCAGAUGUUUAUAAUUCAAUAUAGGUUAAAUAGAUUUAUUACAGGAGUGCCUAUAUCUUUUUAAAAAGAAGUUGUAUCAACACAAUAUGUUGACAGUAUCAGACCACUUGCGGGUGAAACAAACAAUGUCUCUUAGGUAGGGUGUUUCGAUGAUUUGAAGCCCGACGUUUUAAUUGGUUUUUUCCCUAACUAUAAUUUUUACAAUGGUAGCUGUCCACCACUAGUACGUGUAAUGGAAAUAUCUCCCCACGAGUGUCAUAACCAACUGCAAGUGAACCUAAUAAUAUCAUCUCUAGGGGAGGGUGUUUUGAUGUUUCGGAACCCAAUGCUUUUAUUGUUAUUUACCCUAACUAUAAUUUCUACACUGGGACCUGUCCACCACUAGUAAGUGGCAUGAAAACUUCAGCCCACAAGAGAUUCAAAACUGUUACAAAUGAGGAAAUAGAGAAAUUUUUCGACUCCAGGCAAGCAAAAUCAACAAAAAGAAAUACAGCAUGGGGAUUUUUCAAGAUUGGAACAUGGAGAUCUAUGGUUCUGUACUAAUGGUGCAACAUUAGACCUGCAAACAGCAAAUGUGUCAACUCUUGCCAGUCAUCUCUCAUGAUUUUAUUGUGAAGCCAGCCCCAAAGAAAAAGUUGAUGAUGAUGUUUAGCCUUUUUACCACAAAAAUACUUUGAUCAAUAUCAAAGGAGCAAUAAAUCGCCAUCUUGCUGACAUUCAGAAAGAUGUAAAUAUAGUCCAUGACAAGGAGUUCAGAACAGCCAAUGGAAUCUUGGAUGGUUUCUUUAAAGAGCAAACCUGACUUGAUCUGUCAAAACCAACAUCACACAAAGAUAUUAUCGAGAUACAGGAUCUGCAGAAGAUUUAUAAAUACCUCCAAGGUGCCACAUCAUCACCAGUGGUUUUGCGCCAUGCUGUAUGGUACUUUCUGUCCAUCAAUUUUAUUACCAGAGGUUUAGAGUUCCACCAUAAGUUUAAUCAUAACUGCUUUGUCUUCUGCACAGAUGAAACUGGCCAAUAUGCUGCAUUACAACACAAAACAUUACAAAAUAAUCAUCAAGGUGGUGUAGAUGCCAAUGACAGCCAUACAGACAAGAGAAUGUACGCAACUGAUAAUGAAAACUGCUGUCAUGUUUAUCUCUUAAAGUUACUGAUGUCAAAAACUGAUUCAAAUGCUACAAAUCUUUUCAACCAAUACAUAUAAGAGAGAGUUCAUUCUGAUAUUUGGUAUUCAGCAAAACCCCUGCCAAAGCGCACUUUCAACAAGUCUCUCGGGGAGAUUUGCUUUGCUGCUGGUGUGGAGCAUAAAUACACAUCCCACUGUUUACGGGCCACUGCAAACACUUACCUUAAUGAUCAGGGAUUUGAAGCACGACAUAUCAUGUUCAUGUCGAACCAAAGGAAUGAGAGUUCAAUGAGGUCAUAUAACAGAUCGCUCUCCUCUAAGCAAAAAAAAAAAAGCAUUCUGCGAUGGCGUCUGCAUCUUCAUCCCCUUUUACGAUCGUAGCUCUUCCACCGCUGUCGACCAGGUUCUCGAACUUGCCACCACGAACCCAUGAAAAUCAGGCUCUACUUGAAAACUUACCGUCACCAUCGGCACAUGAGACCACAACUCUCAUAUCGUCAAAUUCCACAGCCACAUCAUCGUCCUCAAUGCCCGCAACAUUGAAAACAGUUAACAUGAACAUGCAAAACACUAAUCCAACAGCUGGGUUUUUCAAUAAUGCAAACUUCAGGGAGAGCACAUAUCGUUUUACUCAGUUGUGCUUACUGUAUUGUUACGUGUUGAUAAUGUUUAUU